rnacentral:tRNA from 1 species
GCGCUCGUAGCUCAGUGGAUAGAGCAUCAGCCUCCGGAGCUGAGGGCCGCUGGUUCGAUCCCAGCCGGGCGCACCA